rnacentral:lncRNA from 1 species
CCCAGGAAGAUCUCUCUGUGAUGGAUUUGAGGGAGUGAAACCAGAAUAGUCCUCCUAGGAGGCUGUAGUGGUGCUCCAGGCCAGAGAGAAGGGUGUCCUAAGCAGCUGAGGCUGCAGGAGGGUACGUGAAGGAGACAGACUAACAGGACUUGCUGCUAAAUAGCCCACGAUACCCAGGAAAGGAACCCAGGAUGUGUGGAUGUUCUGGUUUGAGAAUUGCACAGAGUCUUCGACGAUGCACGAGGAGGAGUGGGUUUGGGUAGAGAAAAGACAUCGGUCCAGCGAGGGUGGUGAUGGGUUUCUGAAGAGACCUGGGAUAGCGAGGUGCCUGGAUGGCCACACCACUGCGACCAAUUUGCUUAUGCAGGUCACACCCAACAGUGACAGAAUCACAGGCUGAACUAUCCACCAGAGCCUAGAUGUGGCAAAGACGAGCCCAUGAAAUCAUCCACACUGUGCACUGGAGGAAGAUGACAGGGGAUGGGGCAUCCUCUGUAAAAAGCAGGAAGGAGGAGGAUGUCCUCAAUAGCACUCUACAGUCACAGAAGUCUAUCAUUUUCAAGGGGUUUGAUGAUUCUUAUGGUUAUUGAGGCCCAUGUGCACAGGUAAGAAGCUUUAUAUAAGUAACCAUAAUACCUUGCAUUUUUCCAGUGUGUAUUUUUUCUUGAGAGAUCAAAAGACUAUGGUAUCGCCCUCCUGUGGCUGAAAGGAAAUGUUCGCUCAUGUGCUGUGGAUGCACUGUCACGUCCAUGGGUGAGGUCACAUUGCCUGCGUGUGGAAGCUGUCACCUGACACACGCUUACUUACCUUGCAGGGAGCCAGCAGGGCAAACACCUCUUCAUCCUGAAGCUGAGUGGCUUGGACAGGCACAACGUGGCACCAGGAGCCCGAGGGGAGCCAUCAGGGCUGCAAGAACCAGCAUGACCACAGCCUUCCAGUCCAGAGGCCUGGGGUGGAAGGAGGGAUCUGACCAGCCGUAGGAGUCAGGAAAUGGUUGUGUUGCCAGUGAUAGAUUCACAGGAGAUGUCCCAGUUUUGACUGUGUGGAGGGACGCAGGCUUCAGGACAGGAGCACAGAAGGAGGUGGGCGCUGCACCACCUGCAGGGGCCAGUGGUGAGGAAUGAGGAUGGGCAGAAGAUUCAGGGACUUGACCUCGGGUUCAAGGACAUCUGGGCUGUGAGGAAGGAUAGAUGCUCUGGCUGGAGGCCUCGUCACCUGGGACACCAGGCCUGGAAUGCAGGUCUCCAUCCAGCCCCCGCUCGCUGCUGAGGCCUCCUGCUGGGAACAAAUAACUCCCAGGGGAGGAAAUAAAGAGGGCACACAGAGCUGUGAGCGCUGUCCCGGUGCACCACGGAUCCAAGUGAUGAG